rnacentral:rRNA from 1 species
GCAAGUCGGCAGGCUACACAUGCAGUCGAGCGCCCCGCAAGGGGAGCGGCAGACGGGUGAGUAACGCGUGGGAAUCUACCGUACCCUACGGAAUAGCUCCGGGAAACUGGAAUUAAUACCGUAUACGCCCUUCGGGGGAAAGAUUUAUCGGGGUAUGAUGAGCCCGCGUUGGAUUAGCUAGUUGGUGGGGUAAAGGCCUACCAAGGCGACGAUCCAUAGCUGGUCUGAGAGGAUGAUCAGCCACAUUGGGACUGAGACACGGCCCAAACUCCUACGGGAGGCAGCAGUGGGGAAUAUUGGACAAUGGGCGCAAGCCUGAUCCAGCCAUGCCGCGUGAGUGAUGAAGGUCUUAGGAUUGUAAAGCUCUUUCACCGAUGAAGAUAAUGACGGUAGUCGGAGAAGAAGCCCCGGCUAACUUCGUGCCAGCAGCCGCGGUAAUACGAAGGGGGCUAGCGUUGUUCGGAAUUACUGGGCGUAAAGCGCACGUAGGCGGAUAAUUAAGUCAGGGGUGAAAUCCCGCAGCUCAACUGCGGAACUGCCUUUGAUACUGGUUAUCUUGAGUAUGGAAGAGGUAAGUGGAAUUGCGAGUGUAGAGGUGAAAUUCGUAGAUAUUCGCAGGAACACCAGUGGCGAAGGCGGCUUACUGGUCCAUUACUGACGCUGAGGUGCGAAAGCGUGGGGAGCAAACAGGAUUAGAUACCCCUGGUAGUCCACGCCGUAAACGAUGAAUGUUAGCCGUCGGCAAGUUGACUUUGUCGGUGGCGCAGCUAACGCAUUAAACAUUCCGCCUGGGGAGUACGGUCGCAAAAUUAAACUCAAAGGGAAUUGACGGGGGCCCGCACCAGCGGUGGAAGCAUGUGGUUUAAUUCGAAAGCAACGGCGCAGAACCUUUACCAGCUCUUGGACAUCCCUGUGACGCCAACGGAAAACGUGGGUUUUCCUUUUCGGGACACAGAAGACAGGUGCUUGCAUUGCUGUCGUCAGCCUCGUGUCCUGAAAAUGUUUGGGGUUAAGUCCCCCGCAACGAGCGCAACCCUUCGCCCCUUAGUUGCCCAGCAUUUUAGUUGGGCACUCUUAAGGGGGAACUGCCCGGUGAUAAGCCCAAAAGAAAAGGUGGGGGAAUAAACGUUCAAAGUCCUCCAUGGGCCCUUUACGGGGUGGGGGUUACACACGGGCUUUCAAAAGGGGGGGGGACAAGUGGGGCACCCAAAAACCCGCGAGGGUGGAGUUUAUUUUCCCAAAAAGCCAUUCUUUAUGUUUUGGAUUGGCCUCUCUGCCACUCCGCAAGGGGCCUGGAAGAU